GGCCCAGCAAUGAAAUAGGCCCUGCCUGUCCUAGUCUAGAGACAUUCAUUUCAGAAGCCUUGGAUGGGAAGGCCUGACAUAACCAAGCCUCACAGAGGUAGUUCUUCAUGGGCGGUGUUCUCCUCACCCAGACACUGAGUCCGCCUUUCCCCCACCCCCACCUCCGCCACCUUUGGUGUCUUGGUCUCAGGGGCGAGGGGCAAAGAGAACAGAUAGAUGCACCCACUAGCUCCUUGGGUUCCUUGCAAGCCACAGUUUCACAAGGGUUGGUGGCACUGGAGGUGGGCCACUCACUCCCCCUUCCCUGGGCCUGCUGUGACCACAGGGAUGCCUACAGUAUAAAUGUCACUGAAACUGUGUCCACAUCAGUCGCUGGGCUUGUGGCCAAGAGAUGGAAGCUCCCCAAACCGUGGUGACGUGUUCUUCUGGGAAGAAGAAUUUGAAAUCGAACCUCUCCUGCCUCUUGAGCAUCUCCGAUCUUCCUCCUGCGCUAUUUUUAACAUUCUCACCAAGCACACUGGGGAGCUCAGAGGGUGACAGUUACCAGGCGUAUGCCCUACGUGUGCACAGAUAAACACACUGUAUCUUCUGCCUUGGUAUUCUUUUCUGCAGGGACCCCCCGACUCAGGAUGUUCCCAGGGGAGCCAGGGACAUGGAUUUGGGAAUAAAAGACAAGAGACAG
rnacentral:lncRNA from 1 species